GAAAUCUGGUGCACCUCCAGAAAUGGCGUGAGAAAUGCAAAGUCAUCAGGAGGAUCCAGCUGCUCCAGCAGGCUGCAAAUAAGUAUGACCUGGAGCCCAAAGGGCGAUUUGGGGCCUGGUUCCAGGCCAUGGAGCCCCUCAGUGUCGAUGAGAGCUACUGCCUCUCCUGCCGGCUGGAGCCCAUACACCA